UACGGAGGGGGCAAGCGUUGUCCGGAAUUAUUGGGCGUAAAGAGCUCGUAGGCGGUCUGUCGCGUCUGCUGUGAAAACUCAGGGCUUAACCCUGAGCUUGCAGUGGGUACGGGCAGACUAGAGUGCGGUAGGGGAGACUGGAAUUCCUGGUGUAGCGGUGAAAUGCGCAGAUAUCAGGAGGAACACCGGUGGCGAAGGCGGGUCUCUGGGCCGUAACUGACGCUGAGGAGCGAAAGCAUGGGGAGCGAACAGG
rnacentral:rRNA from 1 species